AAGCUGCUUGCAGUGGACGUUGAUUGACGUGAGUGGCGGACGGGUGAGUAACACGUGGGUAACCUACCCUUAAGUGGGGGAUAACAUUUGGAAACAGAUGCUAAUACCGCAUAACCAUUCAGACCACAUGGUCUGAAUGUAAAAGACGGCCUUUGGCUGUCACUUUUGGACGGACCCGCGGCGUAUUAGUUAGUUGGUAAGGUAACGGCUUACCAAGACAAUGAUACGUAGCCGACCUGAGAGGGUAAUCGGCCACAUUGGGACUGAGACACGGCCCAAACUCCUACGGGAGGCAGCAGUAGGGAAUCUUCCACAAUGGACGAAAGUCUGAUGGAGCAACGCCGCGUGAGUGAAGAAGGUUUUAGGAUCGUAAAACUCUGUUGUUGGAGAAGAACAGGGACUAGAGUAACUGUUAGUCCUUUGACGGUAUCCAACCAGAAAGCCACGGCUAACUACGUGCCAGCAGCCGCGGUAAUACGUAGGUGGCAAGCGUUGUCCGGAUUUAUUGGGCGUAAAGCGAGCGCAGGCGGUUUUUUAAGUCUGAUGUGAAAGCCUUCGGCUUAACCGAAGAAGUGCAUUAGAAACUGGGAAACUUGAGUGCAGAAGAGGACAGUGGAACUCCAUGUGUAGCGGUGAAAUGCGUAGAUAUAUGGAAGAACACCAGUGGCGAAGGCGGCUGUCUGGUCUGUAACUGACGCUGAGGCUCGAAAGUAUGGGGAGCGAACAGGAUUAGAUACCCUGGUAGUCCAUACCGUAAACGAUGAAUGCUAAGUGUUGGAGGGUUUCCGCCCUUCA
rnacentral:rRNA from 1 species